rnacentral:rRNA from 1 species
CUACGGGGUGCUGCAGUGGGGAAUAUUGGACAAUGGGGGAAACCCUGAUCCAGCAAUGCCGCGUGUGUGAAGAAGGCCUGCGGGUUGUAAAGCACUUUCGGUUGGGAGGACUGCUUCUAGCACUAAUAUUGUUGGAAGUUGACGUUACCUUCAGAAGAAGCACCGGCUAACUCCGUGCCAGCAGCCGCGGUAAUACGGAGGGUGCAAGCGUUAAUCGGAAUUACUGGGCGUAAAGCGCGCGUAGGCGGCUAGAUCAGUCGGGUGUGAAGGCCCCGGGCUUAACCUGGGAACUGCAUCCGAUACUGUCUAGCUUGAGUACAGGAGAGGAGAGUGGAAUUCCACAUGUAGCGGUGACAUGCGUAGAUAUGUGGAGGAACACCAAUGGCGAAGGCAGCUCUCUGGCCUGAUACUGACGCUGAGGUGCUAAAGCGUGGGGAGCAAACAGGAUUAGAUACCCGCGUAGUC